rnacentral:rRNA from 1 species
AUUGAACGCUGGCGGCAGGCUUAACACAUGCAAGUCGAGCGGAGAUGAGGUGCUUGCACCUUAUCUUAGCGGCGGACGGGUGAGUAAUGCUUAGGAAUCUGCCUAUUAGUGGGGGACAACAUUCCGAAAGGAAUGCUAAUACCGCAUACGUCCUACGGGAGAAAGCAGGGGAUCUUCGGACCUUGCGCUAAUAGAUGAGCCUAAGUCGGAUUAGCUAGUUGGUGGGGUAAAGGCCUACCAAGGCGACGAUCUGUAGCGGGUCUGAGAGGAUGAUCCGCCACACUGGGACUGAGACACGGCCCAGACUCCUACGGGAGGCAGCAGUGGGGAAUAUUGGACAAUGGGGGGAACCCUGAUCCAGCCAUGCCGCGUGUGUGAAGAAGGCCUUAUGGUUGUAAAGCACUUUAAGCGAGGAGGAGGCUACUGAGACUAAUACUCUUGGAUAGUGGACGUUACUCGCAGAAUAAGGACCGGCUAACUACGUGCCAGCCGCCGCAGUAAUAC